rnacentral:rRNA from 1 species
AUGGCGGCGUCGGAGCUACACUUCUUGCUGGUACCGCUGGUGGCGCAAGGCCACAUCAUCCCCAUGGUGGACCUGGCGCGUCUCCUCGCCGCGCGGGGGCCGCGCGUCACCGUCGUCACCACGCCUGUCAACGGCGCGCGGAACAGGGUCACCGUCGACAGCGCCCGGAGAGCGGGCCUCGCCGUCGAGCUCGCGGAGCUCCCCUUUCCCGGACCGCAGCUGGGGCUGCCGGAGGGGCUGGAGAACCUCGACCAGCUGCUCGACGACGUCAGCAGUGCCAUGUACCUCGCCUUCUUCCAGGCCAUCUGGAAGAUGGCGGAGCCGUUGCAGGGGUACGUCCGUGCGCUGCCGCGCCGGCCGGACUGCCUCGUCGCCGACAUGUGCAACCCGUGGACGGCGGGCAUUUGCACGGCGCUCGGCAUCCCGAGGCUGGUGCUACACUGCCCGUCCGCCUAUUUCCUCCUGGCCGUGCACAACCUGUCCACGCACGGCGUGUACGACCGCGUCCGCGACGACGAGAUGGAGCCGUUCGAGGUGCCGGACUUCCCGGUGCACGCCGUCGGGAACACGGCCACGUUCCGGUGCUUCUUCCAGCACCCCGGCGUGGAGAAGGAGCAGCGCGACAUUCUCGAUGCCGAGGCCACCGCUGACGGCCUUCUGAUCAACACGUUCCGCGGCGUUGAAGGCAUCUUCGUCGACGCGUACGCGGCGGCGCUCGGCAAGAGGACGUGGGCCAUCGGUCCGACGUGUGCCUCCGGCAUCUUGGACACGGAAGCCGACGCCAUGGCCGGCCGCGGCAACCGCGCGGACGUCGAUGUCGGCCACGUCGUCUCAUGGCUCGACGCCGGGCGACCGGCGUCCGUGCUGUACGUCAGCUUCGGCAGCAUCGCGCAGCUGCCAGGGAAGCAGCUCGCCGAGCUUGCGCGCGGCCUCGAGGCGUCGGGGCGGCCGUUCGUCUGGGCCAUCAAAAGGGCCAAGGCCGACGUCGGCGUGAAGGCGCUGCUCGACGACGAGGGGUUCGAGUCGCGCGUCGAGGACAGGGGCCUAGUCGUGCGCGGGUGGGCGCCGCAGGUGACCAUCCUGUCGCACCCGGCGGUGGGCGGCUUCCUCACGCACUGCGGCUGGAACGCCACGCUGGAGGCCAUCUCCCACAGCAUGCCGGUGCUGACGUGGCCCUGCUUCGCCGACUAG